AUGCUUCUCUUUGUCAAUGGCGACGGCGAAUCCCGACGGCGGCUCGAGCAGCGGUGGCGGUGUGGGCAGGUACGGAGAUCUUCCUGCCUCGGGGCCGAUGCACAGCCAGGAUUGGCCGAGGGCGACGGUGACAGUUUGUCAUACUACUCGAGCGGCGAGGAAGAAAUGGAGGAGGCCCCGCUGACCAUGGAGCAGCGCCUGCGGAUGGUAGAGAUCUGGGUUGCCAACCCUUUCACGAGCCAUCACUGGACCCAUGGAUGUGGUGGAGUGCUUGUGGAGGAGGCUAUCUGGGAUGUUAGGAUUCACUUUGAUGCCCUACAUAAUUUGGAUAGGAAGAUAUGCAGUUUUGAUGUCACUUUUCUCAAUCUGUAUGCACUGUUGCAUACACAAGGAUUUACAUUCUCUGAUGAAUUGUAUCACAUGGAGAACACAUGCAUAGGAGAGCAGAGAGAUCAUGGCCUAGACUUGAUUAACACAAACAUUAAAUUGCAGCAAAUUAAGAAGCAACAUGAGCAUACUUUAGUUCUGAAUCUGUUAGUUAGAGCAACAGCCACUGACAGUGCUGCAAUUCAGAGAAAUGCUGAACUACAAACCAUUCUUUAUGCACCACCCAUUGUGUAUGAUCUCAGUGAGCCAGCUAUGCUUGCUGUUGAUGACCAAGGGGUUGUUUUUCAUAGUCAGGGCAGCAGUAGUACAGAUGUUGAAGCUAGUGGUUUUUUCACACAAGAGAGCAAAAAUGUAGGUAAACAAAAGCUGAAAUCUGUGAUGGAGGAUGAAGUUUUGUUGGAGGAGGGAUAUUACAGUAGUGAUAAUUCAGAAGGGGCAUAUGACAGUGACAACUACUUGGAGCAGUACAAGAUUUCUCAAGACACAGAGAUAAUAGAUGGAAAGAGACAAGCAAAUGAGGAACAACUAGCAGAUGAUCAAGAUGAAUAUUCAGAUGAUGAGUCAGAAGAGGAGGAAGAACUGCAUUAUGAGUGUGACACUGAGGUUGAGGAUCUGUUUGAGAUGGAUGAGAGGGAGGAGGAAGAGAGUGGGGAUGAAGAGAGGGAGGAGAGUUUGAAUAUGGAGUUGAAGCAAGAUUUCAUUCCUUCAUCGGAUGAAGAAGAAACUGGUUGCCUGAUGGAUAGUGAAGAUGAUGGGCAUGAGCCACUGCAAUUUGUCCUAAAGAAAAGCAAGAAGACACCCACACCAGCAAUUAUAAAUGAGCACUGUCAGUUCCACAUUGCUGCUGCUGUGAUCAAAGAGUCUUCCAGGGUUAGUGCAAAGUGGCUUGCAAAGACAUAUGAGUCAUUGUUCAGGUCUGAUCCAACCACUAGCAUACAAACUCUGAUUGAUGCCUUCCAGGAGAAGUAUGGUGUUGAGGUUCCUAAGCACAUGGACUAUAGGGCCAAAAACCUAGCCGUGGAAGCUGUCUUAGGAGAGCACAAGAAGCAGUAUCCUAGGCUAAGGGACUAUGUAGCAACCAACAUGCAGACAACCCUGGAACUAACCACAGGUGCACAGAUCCUUGCUGCCACUGGCAGAGAUGACAAUAACAACAUUUUUCCAAUUGCAUUUGUCAUUGUUGGUCAGGAGGAUACAACAAAUUGGUGCUGGUUUCUGCACCAACUCAAGAUAUGUCUAGGAGGAGAAGUUGGUCAAUUUGGUCCUUAUACUAUCAUGAAAAAGCCUGUUAGGACUAUGGUUGAUGGUAUUAAGGACAAGCAAAUGGUGAGGUGGCAUAGGAAUAGAGAGAAAGGAAAGGCAACUUUCCGGGAGACCACACCACAUUAUGCUGAGAAGCUAGAGCUGGAAAAGGAGAGGGCCAGAUACUGUGAACCCAUUCAAGCUGGUGUUAAUUUAUGGCAAGUGACCAUUGGGAAACAAACACACCCUGUGAACCUGGAUAAUCAUACAUGUGGUUGCAGAAAAUGGGACCUCAGUGGCCUACCAUGCAACCAUGCACUUUCAGCAAUUAACAAGGCCAAGAGGAGAGGAAGAAAGCAAGAGAAGAGGAUCAAGGGCAAGUUUGAAGUGCCAAAGCCAAAGGACAUCAGUAGAAUGGCCACAAUAACAUGCUCUAACUAUGGUCUCCAAGGCCAUAGAUACACCAACUGCCUGAAACAAUUGAAACCAGAUUUGGCUAUGAGGAAAAACAAGCAUGUGACACCUGCAAGAUCACAGCCCCCACCUGCAAGAUCACAGCCUCCACCAAGAUCACAGCCUCCACCUGCAAGGUCUGGUGCAAGGUUUGGUGCAAGGACUGGUGCAAGGUCUGGUGCAAGGUCUGGUGCAAGUACUGGUGCAAGGACUGGUGCAAGAUCUGGAGCAAGGUCUAGUGCAAGUUCACAUCCAUCAACUAGUGGUGCAAGGCCAUUCACUGCCCCAAGACAUGCAACUCCUUCUACAUCUUCUGCCCCAAGAAGUCACACUAGUUGGAUGACCUGGUUUUCUCCCAGUGGUUUGAUGAUGAGAUUUGAUGAUUAG
rnacentral:rRNA from 1 species